rnacentral:rRNA from 1 species
AACGAACGCUGGCGGCAUGCCUAAUACAUGCAAGUCGAACGAGAUCUUCGGAUCUAGUGGCGCACGGGUGCGUAACGCGUGGGAAUCUACCCUUGGGUUCGGAAUAACAGUUAGAAACGACUGCUAAUACCGGAUGAUGACGUAAGUCCAAAGAUUUAUCGCCCAAGGAUGAGCCCGCGUAGGAUUAGCUAGUUGGUGGGGUAAAGGCCUACCAAGGCUACGAUCCUUAGCUGGUCUGAGAGGAUGAUCAGCCACACUGGGACUGAGACACGGCCCAGACUCCUACGGGAGGCAGCAGUAGGGAAUAUUGGACAAUGGGGGAAACCCUGAUCCAGCAAUGCCGCGUGAGCGAUGAAGGCCUUAGGGUUGUAAAGCUCUUUUACCCGGGAUGAUAAUGACAGUACCGGGAGAAUAAGCUCCGGCUAACUCCGUGCCAGCAGCCGCCGUAA